rnacentral:misc_RNA from 1 species
UACAGAGACCUCAAACGUUAUCCGGAAUUACUGGGCGUAAAGCGUUCCGAUCGGCGGUCUGGUAAGUCUUCGGUGAAAGCUCCGAGCUCAACUCGGGAAUUGCCAAAGAAACUAUCAGACUAGAGGGGCAAAGAGGGAGCUGGAACUCUCGGUGUAGCGGUGAAAUGCGUUGAUAUCGAGAGGAACACUAAAUGCGAAUGCAGGCUCCUGGGUGCCUCCUGACGCUGCUAGGACGAAAGCGUGGGGAGCGAAUGGG